UAAAGCAAGAAAGGGCGUAUGGGGAAUGCCUAGGCACACUCCGGCGAAGAAGGACGCAGCAAACAGCGAAAUGCGACGGUGAGCGGUAAGCACGUGAAGAGCCGUCGAUAUCCGAAUGGGGGAACCCACACGGAGUCAUAUCCGUGUAUCACAUGUCGAAUACAUAGACAUGAUGAGGCGAGACGCAGGGAACUGAAACAUCUAAGUACCUGCAGGAAGAGAAAAUAAGAAUGAUUUUCUGAGUAGCGGCGAGCGAAAGGGAAAGAGCCCAAACCGAUUUUAGGAUCGGGGUAGUAGGAUCAUCGAGGAAUCUGACAGAGGAUCAUAGAGGAAUCACAUGGGAAGGUGAGCGAGAGAGGGUGAGAGCCCCGUACUCGAAAUGAGAGACUGGAGAGAGAUGACACCUGAGUAGGGCGGGACACGAGAAAUCCUGUCUGAAUCAGCCGGGACCAUCCGGCAAGGCUAAAUACGAGAGAGUGACCGAUAGUGAACCAGUACCGUGAGGGAAAGGUGAAAAGAACCCCGGGAGGGGAGUGAAAGAGAACCUGAAACCAUAUGCCUACAAGAAGUCAGAGCCCGUUAAAGGGUGAUGGCGUGCCUUUUGUAGAAUGAACCGGCGAGUUACUGUAUGGAGCGAGGUUAAGCAGGAUAUGCGGAGCCGAAGCGAAAGCGAGUCUUAAGAGGGCGCGAGUUGCAUGCAGUAGACCCGAAACCGGGUGAUCUAGCCAUGACCAGGUUGAAGUUGGGGUAAAACCCGAUGGAGGACCGAACCGACCCCCGUUGAAACGUUGGCGGAUGAGUUGUGGCUAGGGGUGAAAUUCCAAUCGAACCCGGAGAUAGCUGGUUCUCCCCGAAAUAGCUUUAGGGCUAGCGUCGAGAGAAGAGUUGCGUGAAGGUAGAGCACUGAAUAUGUGAUGGCCCCAUCUCGGGGUACUGAGCAUAAUCAAACUGCGAAUGUCACGCCAACAUGCUCGGCAGUCAGACAGCGGGUGAUAAGGUCCGUUGUCAAGAGGGAAACAGCCCAGACCAUCAGCUAAGGUCCCAAAAUGUAUGCUAAGUGGAAAAGGAUGUGGAGAUGUACAGACAACUAGGAGGUUGGCUCAGAAGCAGCCAUCCUUUAAAGAGUGCGUAACAGCUCACUAGUCGAAUGACUCUGCGCCGAUAAUUUACCGGGGCUAAGCAUACUACCGAAGCUAUGGAUCCCAAGGGAUGGUAGGGGAGCGUUCCAUGAACGGAGAAGCGUGAUCGAGAGGACGCGUGGAGAUCAUGGAAGAGAGAAUGCCGGUGUGAGUAGCGGAACGUGGGUGAGAAUCCCACGCACCGAAAACCCAAGGUUUCCAGAGGAAGGUUCGUCCGCUCUGGGUAAGUCGGGACCUAAGGCGAGGCCGAAAGGCGUAGUCGAUGGACAACAGGUAGAGAUUCCUGUACCCGUAUAUAUGUGAAGGAAUGACGGAGAGAGGAAGCUGCAGCCAGCGGCUGGAAGAGCUGGUGCAAGCGAGAUAUCGGGAUGGCAGGCAAAUCCACCAUCCGAAACGAGAAGGCGUGAAGCGUACGGAAAGCUACGGCGAGUACGGAAGGCAGUGGAGGAACUUCCAAGAAAAGUUUCUAACGUUAAGUAUAUAUGGCCCGUACCGAAAAUGGACACACAUGGGUGAGGAGAGAAUCCUAAGGUGAGCGAGAGAACUAUAGCUAAGGAACUCUGCAAAAUGACUCCGUAACUUAGGGAGAAGGAGUGCUCAUAGAGAUAUGAGCCGCAGUGAAACGGCCCAAGCGACUGUUUACCAAAAACACAGCUCUCUGCUAAGCCGCAAGGCGAAGUAUAGGGGGUGACGCCUGCCCGGUGCUGGAAGGUUAAGGGGAGGGGUUAACGCAAGUGAAGCCCUGAACUGAAGCCCCAGUAAACGGCGGCCGUAACUAUAACGGUCCUAAGGUAGCGAAAUUCCUUGUCAGGUAAGUUCUGACCCG
rnacentral:rRNA from 1 species